CUCUAUUCCAUCUCAAUUUACUGGACUAAACACUGGGCCCAGCUAAAAAUAAUCUUGAUCCUUGCAGGCUGGGGGCCAAGCUACGUUUGGCAGAACAGCACACGGAGUGGAAUGGGAUGGGGGCUCACAGCCUAGCAGGGACGGCUCCCAGCAGGCUGUUUAGGCCACUCCUGUGGUCAUCGACUCAGCCAUUUCCCCACAGCAGGCCUCCAGCAGAGCGCCGGGCCUCAGUCCAUUGGGAAGUGGAGGUGAGGGACAGGGAGUGAAGUCCACCGGCAGCAGGAUGGACACAAAGGAACCCAGAGAUGCUAAACCCUGGCUAGGACUUCCACCUCUGCCGGACCAAGAAGUCUGCUGGUCAUACGAGAAGGAGCAAUUGGCUGGAGAGGACCGGCUGGGAGCCGGCAGUGUGGGAGAGCUGUGCCCAGGGAGAAAGCUCUUACCUGUCCUCAUCCACUGCUGA
rnacentral:lncRNA from 1 species